GAUGCAGUUUAGUGAGUCUGCAGCUGAAGACGUUCAAAUACCAGACGAGCAGGAUUCAGAAAAUCAGGAUGGCACAGAGGAGCCAUCAGAAGCUUCUGAGGUAGAGUCCUGAAAAACAAUACCUUGUGUAUUCUGUGUUUGCUGAAUGGAAUAAACAACUUUUGAAUUAAUGAUUUUCUUUCUGGCAGGAAUGCAGUGCCUCUCUCAAUGAAAAUGCAAAAUCUGAAAUUUCAGAUUCAGCUGGAGUGGAUACAGGUGCAGUUGGUAGUGAUGACAUGAACACAUGAUCCAGAGAAAUUUAAAUACUAUAGAAAAUUUCUAUAAAUACAAUAUUGUAAAUGUACUGUGCUGUCAUUACUGUUUAAAGGUUUUUUUUUUUUUUUUAAGAAGUCUCUUAAGCUCACAAAGGCUGCAUUUAUUUGUUAUUAGAAUUCUAAUAUGCUGAUUUGGUGAUCCAGUAACAUUUCUUAUUACUAUUAUUAAUUUUAGUUGUGCUGCUUUUAUAUUUUUUGUGGAAACUGCUAUACAUUUUUUUUCAAGAUACUUUGUAUUUAUUUAAAAAAAUCUUUCUUUAAAAAUCUGACACUAAACUUUGAAUGCUAGUGUAUAUUAUUGUUUUAACAAUUUCCUUCCUUGUCACAGAUAAACAUUCUGAGGAGGAGCCCACAUUUAUUUUAACUCUAUAUGAGAUUCCAGUCUCUGAGUCUGCCUUUGGGCAGCAGGACACGCCCCCUUAUGAACUGCAGCCAGCACAAGUCCAGACACCCUUGCUGUUCUCAAGCAGUUCACAUUCUCAUUACUUCACAUUAGAGCCUUCCAGGUACAUUUCUCUUCCAGUCUAGAUUUAAUUAGGUAACAUUUUACACAGUAAAAAACAAAAUCCUUGAUCAUCCAUUCCUUUCAUCCUUGAUGACCUUGUUUUGCAGUGCAUCUCCGAACAUGGCGUCUGAAGAGACCAGUAAUCUAUAUAAAAGUAGUUCUCGCAAGGUGGUGGAUGACUCCCUGGAUCCUCUUUCAAAGGAAGCAGCAGAUGAUGCUAGUACACAAUUGAUAUCCUCACUGGAAAGCAGUUGUGAUGAUGUGAACUCUUUAAUUAGUCCACUCGGGAUGUUCUCUUGUAAUUCUGCCACGCCAACACAUGUGCUGAAAUUGGAUGAGAUCCUGACAGAAUCCCCAGAAACUAAAGCACCUUCUCAGAGGAGAUGUAGAUGUCAGAAUCUACCAACAUCUCAAACCACAGCACAAACUGAGAUUGAGACCAACCAGACACUAUCUGUGCAGGAAACAGUCGGUCCUGAAAGCCACUCAAGCCUUGAAGACAGUGAGAGGGAAGCCCAUCCUGGGCCUGAUGGCAUGAUAUCAACAGCCAUUGUUCCAGUGUCUGAAGAUAUGAGAGAUGAGAGUCACCUGAAGUGGGAAUGUCCUCUCAGAACAGAACUCCAGAGGAAUGAGGACUCUGUUGUUGACCCUCCAGGGCACAGUACAUUCAUAAAGGAGUCUGAGGGGAACAACAAAGCUGGUUAUGAGGGUAUUUCACACAUAGUGUUGGCUGAUGCCUUCGUACUCUCAUCAGAAGAAAUGAAGGAUGUUUUUAAUAAGGAAAAAGAAAGCCCUUAUGAUAGUGAGCUCCAAAUACCUGAGGGCUUAUCUGUAUGUCUGACAGAGAGGGAGAAAUCUGUUCCUUCAGUUAUUGACCAAGAAAUAAUGGCAGAUAUUUCUAAAAAUCCUGAUACUUGCAGAGAGGCAUCAUGUGUGUCAUCAUCUGCAUUUCAAGAGAAGACUAUGCCCUCUAGGAGAGGCAAGUUGCAAGUGAAGCCUAAAAUCCCCAAAACAACAUCUACUGAAGACGAUUGCUCUAGACAGAAGCUAUCUGACUUUGGGUAUAAUGAUCCAGCCACAACUCAAAUAAUUUCACCAGAACCUCUGAUUAAAGAAGAAUCCAGUAAAGUGGAACAGAGAUCCGAGCAAGAAGUUUUCUCUGAUAUUCCAAAGGAGGAAUUAGACGGAGACCCUGCUGGGAUUGCUUCAUCCUCACAACUUCAACAGCUUAUACCAUUCAGCACUGUAAAAUCAACAGCAUGGUAA
rnacentral:lncRNA from 12 species